UACGUAGGGGGCUAGCGUUGUCCGGAAUCAUUGGGCGUAAAGCGCGCGUAGGCGGUCAGGUAAGUCCGGUGUGAAAGUCAAAGGCUCAACCUUUGAAUGCCGCUGGAUACUGCUUGACUUGAGUCCGGAAGGGGCGAGUGGAAUUCCUGGUGUAGCGGUGAAAUGCGCAGAUAUCAGGAGGAACACCAAUGGCGAAGGCGGGUCUCUGGGCCGAUAUUGACGCUGGAGGAGCGAAAGCGUGGGGAGCGAACAGG
rnacentral:rRNA from 1 species